UAUUCAGUCACGUGGACACAGGCCUUAUAAAGGGGGGUCAUUUCCACACCCUGGUAUCUCGCACUUCUCCAGCCCGCUGAUCUGAUCUAUCGUGAAACUCUAUUGAACAGCAGACAUGAAGUUCGUCGUAAUACUCAUUGUCUUGGCCUGUGUGUGUUCCGUCGUCCUAAGCAAACCUGGCAAAACAGGAUGCAACAACAACAACAACAACAACAACAACAACAACGACGAUUGUGACGAAGGGAUCAAUGAUGACAUAUCUGAAAAAGGCAACGGCAUCGGCUUCGGCAAUUUCAAUAGCAAGAGCAACGGCAACGGCAACGGCAACGGCAACGGCGACUACUGACGUCCAGAAAAUGUUCUACCAGAGAUCUGACAGAUAUGAAACAGUUCCGCAUCUACGGUAAUCGUGCCCGUGAAAUCAUCCCGAUAACAGAAAUAAACAAUUAAUUGAGUCCUGUCAA